rnacentral:rRNA from 1 species
UACGAAGGGUGCAAGCGUUACUCGGAAUUACUGGGCGUAAAGCGUGCGUAGGUGGUUUGUUAAGUCUGAUGUGAAAGCCCUGGGCUCAACCUGGGAAUUGCAUUGGAUACUGGCAGGCUAGAGUGCGGUAGAGGAUGGCGGAAUUCCCGGUGUAGCAGUGAAAUGCGUAGAGAUCGGGAGGAACAUCUGUGGCGAAGGCGGCCAUCUGGACCAGCACUGACACUGAGGCACGAAAGCGUGGGAGCAAACAGGG